GAUGAACGCUGGCGGCGUGCCUAAUACAUGCAAGUCGAGCGAACAGACGAGGAGCUUGCUCCUCUGACGUUAGCGGCGGACGGGUGAGUAACACGUGGAUAACCUACCUAUAAGACUGGGAUAACUUCGGGAAACCGGAGCUAAUACCGGAUAAUAUAUUGAACCGCAUGGUUCAAUAGUGAAAGACGGUUUUGCUGUCACUUAUAGAUGGAUCCGCGCCGCAUUAGCUAGAUGGUAAGGUAACGGCUUACCAAGGCAACGAUGCGUAGCCGACCUGAGAGGGUGAUCGGCCGCACUGGAACUGAGACACGGUCCAGACUCCUACGGGAGGCAGCAGUAGGGAAUCUUCCGCAAUGGGCGAAAGCCUGACGGAGCAACGCCGCGUGAGUGAUGAAGGUCUUCGGAUCGUAAAACUCUGUUAUUAGGGAAGAACAAAUGUGUAAGUAACUAUGCACGUCUUGACGGUACCUAAUCAGAAAGCCACGGCUAACUACGUG
rnacentral:rRNA from 1 species